AUACGUAGGGUGCAAGCGUUAAUCGGAAUUACUGGGCGUAAAGCGUGCGCAGGCGGUUUUGUAAGACAGGGGUGAAAUCCCCGGGCUCAACCUGGGAACUGCCACUGUGACUGCAAGGCUGGAGUGCGGGAGAGGGGGAUGGAAUUCCGCGUGUAGGAGUGAAAUGCGUAGAUAUGCGGAGGAACACCGAUGGCGAAGGCAAUCCCCUGGGCCUGCACUGACGCUCAGGCACGAAAGCGUGGGGAGCAAACAGGAUUAGAUCCCCUGGUAGUCCCCGCCCUAAACGAUGUCAACUGGUUGUUGGGGAUUUAUUUUCUCAGUAACGAAGCUAACGCGUGAAGUUUACCGCCUGGGGAGUACGGCCGCAAGGUUAAAACUUAAAGGAAUUGACGGGG
rnacentral:rRNA from 1 species